rnacentral:hammerhead_ribozyme from 1 species
AUCCAGCUGAUGAGUCCCAAGUAGGAUGAAUCGCGCGUCCUGGAU